rnacentral:rRNA from 1 species
UACGUAGGGCGCAAGCGUUGUCCGGAAUUAUUGGGCGUAAAGAGCUCGUAGGCGGCUUGUUGCGUCGGUUGUGAAAGCCCGGGGCUUAACCCCGGGUCUGCAGUCGAUACGGGCAGGCUAGAGUGUGGUAGGGGAGAUCGGAAUUCCUGGUGUAGCGGUGAAAUGCGCAGAUAUCGGGAGGAACACCGGUGGCGAAGGCGGCGACCUGGGUAGAUACUGACGCUGAGGUGCGAAAGCGUGGGGAGCAAACAGG